ensembl:lncRNA
CCAGGCAGUCAGAGCUGAAGCAUUACCAGCUUUAUUAAUCACUCCAAGCACCAGCACCUGCUUCCACUCAGUCUGGAUUAGGGCCACAUCCCCUACCAUAACAGGCCACAUCCCCUACCAUAACAGGCCACAUCCCCUACCAUAACAGGUCACAUCCCCUACCAUAACAGGGUCACAUCCGCACCAUAACAGGCCACAUCCCCUACCAUAACAGGUCACAUUCGCACCAUAACAGGCCACAUCCAUUCCAGAGUCUGAGUGGUGCUGAUGGAAUGGUAACGGAAAAGCUGAUAGAGCGUGAAAGAAAAGUUGAAACCAAAGUUGAAAGAGAAAAAUGCAGGAGGAGGAUAAAAAGCUGGAAGAACAAAGGAGACUUGAAGCUGUGUGUAUGUGUGUGUGUGAGAGAGAG